UCCCACUACAGGUUCUGCUGUUUCUCCUGUUCUCUUCCUCUGAGAAAUUGAGAGAGUGCCACAAAACAGAAGACAACAUGGAGAGAUGUGGACAUGGCCCAUACCGUCCAUCCUCAUGUAACAAAAGAUGCCUUGUUCCAAUAUGCCAUGUCCCGACCAUGCACGUUGACAAUUACAAAGCAAGCAGGCAUGCAACAAAGAAAGCACACCAGGCUCCUUUGCAUCAAAAGGAAGUGGAAACAGCAAAAAUGCAAAUGACUUGAUAUUUUCCCCCCUUUCUUGCAUAAUAUA
rnacentral:lncRNA from 1 species